rnacentral:lncRNA from 1 species
UGGCCGUAUGAAAAAAUUAAAAUUGCAAAAAAUACAUUUGCGGUAACCAUAGCAACCAGAUCAAAAUAAAUAGUUUCAUGUUAAAAGAUAGAAUAUUAUUUUACAAUAAGUGCACAGCAUGCAAACCUACUUUACUGAUCACAUGAAUUAUGAUUUUGAUGAUUUCAAGGUAUUUCAACGUUUUUUAGGCCUAUCCUUAAAAUCGUAUCUACCACCGUUACCAUGGCAACCACAUUUUAAACUGGGGUAUAUAUCAUCAGUACAUGUUACCAUGAUACACAUAUGUAAAUAUUAACAUGAUUCUAUAAUGGGCCAAAAAUGACCCUUAAUGCCCC